UAAAUAAUAGUUUCAUUUGUUAAUUGCAACAAAUUCAGAUUUCCAGCAAUAUAUUAUUGUCAUAUAUAUGUAUUGUUUGUCCAUAUAAAUAGGGAAGCGAAUCAAUCGGCAGAUGCACUAGCAAAAGAAGGACUGUCUAUGGAAUGCGGAAGGGUAAGCUUGUUAUUUCCCAAAAGACAAUUGUGAUUGCAGAUUGUGAUUUAAUCUACUUUAGAUUGAAGUAUAACUGAGAUGUUUACAAUUUUCAUCUGGUUUUGGCAUAGUAACUCUGUUAUAGGCCCUUGGCAUAUUACCAUAUUGAUGAAGUGUUGAAUGAAUGCUGGAGAGGUGUCUCUGAUACUGUGUUGGCUGCCAUCCUGUCUCUGAGGUGUCUCUUGAAUUAUAUGUUUUGGUAUUAUUAAUUUCAUCUGUUUAAAUUAGUAUUUUAACCUUAUAAUUAUGAUCAAUAAGUGCUAGGCUUAUGAAAUUCAUUGCUAAUUGUAUAACUAUGGGCAUGUUAGGAUUGACUUACUUCAUUUUAUCUACUCACAUAAGUCCCACGAUAGGUGUUUAUUGUGCUGAGCUCACUAGUUAGUGGGAUAAGGCUUUGGUUGUUGUUUGUUGUAGAAAUAGCUUAUAUAUAAACGAUUUUCAUAAUAAUAAGCGCUUAUGCUAAGCUGCUAAUAUGACAGGGUCUAGGUCAACAAGUCUUUAUUUUAUUUGAUUUUUGGUGCUAACCAUCCGGUUCUCUGGGGAAAUGAGUCCUGGUAAUCAGAGUUCGGCCAGGAGGUAAGUAAAGUCGGACCAAUAAUUUUUCCACUCAGGAAUCAGACUCAGGUUCUCAUGAACAAUUCUUUCUUGAUGGAGUUCAUUAACCACUUCAGCUCAAUUGCUUGGUUAGGUCAAUGAGUCUUUAGCUUAUCUAGUUCACACAUGAGUUAUACAUGCACUCCUUUUUCUAAUAUCACAUUAUCUGAUAUAGGAAUAUGUUAAGCCUUAUAAAACCAAAGCCCUACAUCAGCAUAUAUCAAAUGAAAUAGGCAUAUCUAGAUAUAACCGUGAUACAUUUUUCACUAGUUUAUUAUAGGGUUAAUAGUGUUUUUCACUCCUGUAAUAUAUGUCAUUUCCGGUUUUCACCCCUAUAAAAUUUUCGGUUUGAUUUGCACCCUCGUAAAAAUUUUAUUUUCCGGAAAACACCCAUAAUAGGCCAUUUUCAGAAAUUUUUUUCAAGAAAUUUUUUAAAAUUUUGGUUUUGUUGCACUGCAUGCUUUGUUAUUGGCCCAUAACUGAUGCUUUAGGGGUAUACAUAUGUGUUUUUUUUUUGUUUUGUUUUGUUUCUCAUUGAUUGAAAAUAGGCUCAUUCCACCAUUUCCAGAAUACAUUCAAUUAUGAAAUGGGAAUUGAUAAAGUUUUAAUAAAUGAUUUAACAUGGUGCUUGCCUAACUCAAUUUUCAAUACUUCGUUUAAUUAUCUACCCAACCUUUUAUGUAUUUCAUUUGAGGUUGUUAGAUAUAGUGACAAAGGUUUAGAGUACACAUUUUCUGUUUCAUGUUGAGAAAAGAACAGCAUUUAGUUUCAUGGUGGAUAUUCAGCUUCUUCUGUCUUCAACUGUGAGUCAAGUUCUUCAAGUUGAAAAUGUUACGGAGAAUCUUAGAGGUUUCAUGGAUCCUAAUUUGAGGGAUAAAUACCCUUUGGAUCUUACUUAUUCUAUGGAUGAGAUUGCCAAAAGAUGUGUUGAUCAUGACCUCAAUUCAAGGACAAAUGUUUCUGGGGGUUUUCAUGGUUAUGUCCACGAUUCAAUCCUCAAUAUUGUAUUUGAGAUCCAUCUGACGAGCUUGAACGGUCCAUAUCUGUUACCCAAGUUUCUGAUAGCAGAUAGUUAAUGAUUUUUAAUGUCAUGCCUCAAUUGAAUAAGAGUUUUGACAGCUUAUUUAAUCUUUUUAUAUGAAGAGUUUUAUGUUGCCAUAUUUUGUAUCGCAUAUAUAACAUGCAUUGAUUCUUUCUUUCUUAGAAAGGGAAAAUGUUAGUAACUUAGUAUUGUUAGUUUGAGGAUGCAGAUCGAUCCCUUGAUCUCCGUAUCACUCCACUCGUUAACUCCCCACCCCAUCACCAUGCCAACAUUAUGUUCCUUAGAAAUCCACACUGUGAGCUUGUAAAUUAUUGUAUUCCUUAAAAUGGAUACUUCAAUUUGUUAUUCUUUAUAACGUAGUAAAGUCAGAUUUCCAGUAAUCUGUUAUGGCGAAUUGAAAAAUGGUGUGGUUUAGAGAGUUUAGAUAGCACCUAUAGUAGAAAAGAUGGUAGAAACUAGACUUGGGUCAUUUGGGCAUGUAGAGAGAAGAAAUGUGGAUUCUGUAGUUAGGAAGGGGAGACCUUGAAACUAUUAGGAAGGAUCUAGAGAUAAAUGAGUUGGAGAAAGACAUGGUUUUUGAUAGAGCACUAUGAAGUCGUUUGAUUCAUGUAGCCGACCCCAGCUUAGUGGGAUAAGACUAGGUCGUUGUUGUUGAAUUAAAAAAUGGUUUGGAUAGGCCAAGGUCAGGUGUCAUGGUUUCAACUUCCAAUUAAAUAGUAUAUUAUUAUAAAUCUUUGUUAAGAAUUGAGGUACCCAUCAUUAAUUAAUCAUUAAUACAAAGUAAAAUACAAUGCCUUGAGAGUGAUGCACAUAAUAUUCAUGUAGAAAUGUAGAAACGAAGUAUAUAUGUAGUAUUACUACUAUUGUAUAAAUUUAAGCUGGUUUUAUUUAAUUUAAUGCAGAAUCCCCACCUAGUUAUGAUACAUAAUCAAAUAUAUGUGUAGCUAUUGCAGAGGAUCCAAUUUACUCCGUGAGCCAUGCUAGAAAAAGAAAGGGAAAGUAGGAAAUGUAUCGCAAGGAUUUUCUAGUUGAUGAUGAGGGGAGAAAAAGGAUGAUGUACAACAAAAUACAACCACAACAAAAAUCGGAGUUACAAGCAAACAGUAAUUCACACUUAUUAAGAAAACUAACACUUAAUGAUUUGAGGUAUAAUUUUUUGUAUUCUUCUUGGAAUAAGUUUCGUGGAAAGAUGUAAAAAUAAUUCUCAUUGGUUAAAAAUUAUGGAGAAAAUAAAAAGGACAACAAAUUGAAUGCAAUUUGCAUUUAAUUUUACAUUGGAAAAGAUUAUUUGUUUGAAAAAAUAUAAUAAUAGCAAAAAAAUUAGUCUUUUUUGCUUAUAUUUUAAGACAAAGAAUAUGAAAUUUUUUUGCUUAUAUUUUAGGACGGAGGGAGUAGAUACCAGUCAUGAAUGCCAAAUAUAGUGAGAUGAG
rnacentral:lncRNA from 1 species